rnacentral:misc_RNA from 1 species
AAAAAAGAUUGCACAGGUAAUUGUCCAUUGUAAAUGUUUGAUGUUAUGAUGGAUCAGUGUAAAAAUACUUGGAGGAAGAUGAUAAAAGUUUUGUGUACUUUCCAUGAUAAUUUUAAAAUAUGCUACAAGACUACAAUUACUUUCAUGUCUGAACUUAGUUCAUUUCUUCAUUUUGAAUAUGAUAAAAACCCAGUGUUAUGAU